CGAGUCCUCUGGAAGAGCAGCCAGUUCUCUUCACCCCUGGCUGGGCCAUCUCAGCUCACAGACACUUGUUUUAUAUGUUGUUUAUAAUGCAAUAACAUCACUUGGCUCAUGGGCAAUUUCAGGAUGGUUGCAGUGUCCUGGAACUUGCCUAGCAUCUUGAAUUUUAGCAUACCCAUUCUCUGCUUCCCCAGAAUGCUAAGGGUUAAAUUUCAACCGCUAAGAUCUUACCUAGAAGUCCGAGGCCCCUAGUAUCUCACAAUGUGACUUUAUUUCAAAUUUGUGUCAUUGGAGAAGUUAAAGUCACACUGGAAAAAGGCAGGUUUUUACAUCAGGAAGGCUUAGCAUCCUCCUAAGGGCAGAGGUCGAGACAGUCGUGUGAACACCACAAAUUGCCAGCAAGCACCAGAACCAAGAGAGAGCCUGGGCCAGAUCCUCUCCCACAGCUCCAGAGGAAACCAGUCCUGCUAGCACCCUGGGCUCCUGGCAGCUGGGGUGAGAGGCAAUUCCCGAUGCAGUCUGACUCACUCAGCCAUGCUGCUUGUCAGGGUGGCCUAUGUAAAUUAAUACAAAGGCUAACUCACCUGGCUCUCCGAACUCCAGUGAAAAACAGUAUUUAGCAUAAAGAAAGAGAAAGCAGGUGUAGAGGAACAUUCUAACAAAAUCUUGGAAAACAGGUGCAAGCCAACACAAUGCAAUGUUUAGCAUUCCACUUGGAUGUGAAGAAGGUUUGGGGCAGUGUUUUCAGACUCCUCCAUUUCCUCACAGAGCUUGCAGCCACCUGCAGCUCGGGCCAGCGCUGCUGCCAAGCACACCUGCGAGGGACAGCAAUAGCUGCCCUUCUUGUAUAAUCACUGUCUUCUUUCGCAUGCCAAGUACCAGCUCCAUGGAAGCCAAACGCUACCCAGGUGCCCUCCACAGGGACUCCACAGGGAUCCCUUGAGUCGCAGGAGACCUGGCCAGUCAGGUUAACUCCGUUUGGUAUCUGUUUGUGGCUGGCUGUCCCACUUCCAGCACUACAUCAACAGGUGGCCUGGUACACAGAAGUUCCUUACCAGUUACCGGGCCCUGAGCAGCCUCAGUGUGAUUUCUCACUCCAUAGGCUCCCCAAGCAAACUCUUUCAAAGGCACGGAGAGAACAAGGUGCCCUCUGGAUUCAAACCAUGAAGAUUUGGGCUGGAAUCCCACCUGUCACCUCACUCUAUACCCAGCAACUUUGAUGGACUUGAUAUGUAAGCACUGGAUAUCUAACUGUUUAACUGCAGGAGACAGAACUGGAUCUGAAGUGGUCGCCUGGAAAUCAUUUUUUCCCUAAAAAAGCUCUGGUUCCUCUGCAUCUUUAUGCCGUAUUAACACUCAAGAGAAGUCACUAGGCCACAGCAAGCUCGCCAUACCUCUGGCCUGAGUGUAUUCUACUUGUAGCCCCCAGAGCUCUAUUAUAAUCCUUCAAGUUAUUAAAUAAUCGUGGUGUUUCCCUUGGGAUCACUUCUGGCAACAAGACACUGGCCUGAGUGAACCACUGACACAGCCCAGUGAGUAACACUUACAUUUUUAACUUGCUAGAAGCAAACGGGUAUGAUAUGCUUGUAGGGGAGAAACCAGAGAAACUACUGUGGUGUGUGCGUGUGUGCGUGCGUGCGUGUGUCUGUGUCUGUGUGUGUGUGUGUGUGUGUGUGUGUGUGUGUGUGUAGGUGUGUGUGUUUGUGUUUUAGGAACUGGAUAUCAAAAAUAUUCAAAUAAUUAGUGCCCGCUCCCCACCAACCCCGUAAAGGAGCAACUCUCUACCCCAACUCUAGUUUCUGUUUCAGGAGUGGCUACAGCCACAAGGAGAGAGCCAAGCACAUGGCUGUCCUUUUGGACAUUCCUGCAAUGUAGGCUAAGCUGCUCUGGAAAAUCCCAUCUCUUCCUCCUACAGCUACAUGACCUCGAGUGCCAUUUCAAAUAAAGUAUGCUUCCACUGAUGUUUGUGAACACAGACAAAAGCAGCUACAACCUUGCUUCCCCCAACCCCCCAAAAAUACCCUUGCGAACCAACUGUAGUUGCUAUGUAGGGUUAUUUGUUUCUAAGGCAACAGCUUAUGUCUAAGUACUAAUGGCCUGUCCUUUUGCCAGGCAACAAACAGCCUUGUGAUGCAAGUGCACCUGUCUGGGCUACGCGUUACUAUGGAGACACUCCAGUUACUAUGGCUACCAUCACGCUAAUCGCCUAGCAAAGGCAGACAUACAGCAGUCUUCUCAUAGAGCCCAGCUGCUUCACCCGUCUCUCGCCGGAGACUGAUUGUCUAGGGCCUGUGAUGGAACGCACAAGAACUUCAUUAAUGCCACGUUGGAAGGCUCACUCUGUGUGCCCUCCUGCAGAACAAACAUCAGAACAGAGAAACCUGCAAGUGGACUGUAAAAUUCCCCAGCCUUCUGACACCAGGCCAUUCCCAAUUAGCAUAAAUGUCUGCUCUGCUGGCAGCUUCUCUCAACUGGGUAGUUAACAAAAGAAAGGCCGCUACAGGGCUUCUGGAAUUGCUAGGGGACUGGAGAGAUGGCUCGGCAUGAAGAGCACUGGCUGCUCCUUCAGAGGACCCAGGUUCAAUUCCUAGCACUGACACAGUGGCUCAAACCAUCUGUAAUUUCAGUUCCACAGGAUGCAAUGCCCUCUUCUGGCCUCCACAAACACCAAGCAUGCAAAUGCUGCACAGACAUAAAUACAGGCAAGACAGGCGUACACAUAAACAAACAAAGUAAUUUUCAAAAGACUUCUUGGUGGGCCUCGUGACAAGUGCUAAGACUCUAUCCUCAGUCUGAAAUCCGAUUCUUUGUUCUAUAGGGCCCUUUCUUCUUCUAAUCUACCACUAACGUGCUUUUUCAAACCGUGACAAUCUACCUAACACUCCUCCUGUCAUAUAUUUGUAAAAAUGCAUUCGUGACCUCAAUCUCAUGACAGACAGACACGUGAGGAGGGAAAGUGGCCACCGUUCUCAAGGCAAACACUUAGUAACUACAACAAACCCAUCACUCAGGAGCCCGUCGACAUGGAAACCGGAUGACAACAACCGAGCCUGCCUUCUUUCAACAGCUCUACAGUGAGGCUAGGGGAAGGUGGAAUCACCUGCUUGCCUCACCGCUCUCACCCAAACAAAGCGUGACACACAGAGGAAUGAUGGCUGUCCACUUUCCUCUGUACAUGGUUCUACCCAGGAAGAUGCUCUGCGGCCACACUCGCUCGCUUGCUCAGAACAGCAGAAGCGAUUAGAGAGAAUAAAGCCCAGAUCUGGGCAGAACAGUUCCCCAGCAAGUGAUCCAGCUGCUGAGUGGAAGGCUGGAGACCAAGAAUGGGAAGCCUGGAACCUCAUGACCAUUCUUAUGUAGCUGCAGACGGUCACAGUGCCUAAGAAAGUCAUGGCUCCCUCCCUGGUGAGAGACAGGCAACCGGCCCAAGGGAUGGUGGGAUAUGAAACCCUAAUGAAGUGGCCAUGCCUGUGGUAUCUAAAAGUACAUGAAAGUUAUCCAAGAGAUCUUAAUGAAGAGGACAUACCUGACGAGACAUACUCUGUAACCUUACAUCUGGUGGGGUUUUUCAUCCAGCUGUGGCAUGGGAGAGAAUCUUGUACACGGAAGGGUUUAAAAUGGCCACUGCUCACAUGUGUUGUAGUCUUGGCUGAACAUAUUGGUAAGUUUUUUUGGUAUUCUAGGUUAACCUGCCCCCUUCACCGGUGACUCUCUCUGCCUCCUGUGUACCCUACACACCGGCUCUAACCACUGAAAUUCCUUUACUCAGGAAGCCAAUUCCCCUGACAACCAUCUGGCUUCUUCCUGUUGCCUAGAUCAUCCAACCUACGUUUCUGAACUUAGUCAGUACAUGUAGCUCCGUGUUAAUGAGUACCGGCUGAUUAACAAUCCAAAGAAAUGGAUCCUGCCCUCACCCCGCAGAGGUCUGGGAUCGCUGGUUCUUUCCUGCCCUAACCCCGCAGAGGUCUGGGAUCGCUGGCUCUUUUUGUCUGGGGGGAAUUUUGAUUGUGUUUCUCACCAGACAGGUGCUGACUGAAACACUGCGUUUUAGUGUGUCUUACACUGGGACCGCAGGCAUUCCAAACAAGGAAAGCAAAAUGCAAUGCUUCUUGGGUGUGCAACCCUGGGAACCCUGUCAGAGCCUCUGACAGUUUUAGGGGGAAGCUCUAGGCAGAGAGAUCCGGGUUUGGGACAGUGAAGAAGCUGGAAAUGCCCACAGUCACACCUUCUCUUUGGUUCAUGCAGCCAUUCAUCCGGUUUAGCUAAAAACUUGUGAAAUGGAAACACACAGGGACCAGAGGGCUCACGUUUCGGGAGUCGGGAAAACUUUACUGCAUGCCUCUUGCGGAAGGGAUGUAAUUUGAUUAUAGUUGUAUAAUAACUCUGAGGGUCAGAGCAUUUAUGGAAAUCUCUGCAUCUCCUCUGAAAAUGAAAAUGCAAACCUUUUUAAUAGAGAUAACUGUGACGGUCACACAACAUUUAAUGUUAAGGAGUUCAAAACACCCUUCACUUAAGGGUGCAUUUUCACUAUACAUUCACAUGUAUGUAUAUGAAUUAUGUGAUCACAUAUGCACUUACACAUACAUACAGCAUCCCCCCCAGAGAAAACCAAUAUACAAAUAGGAGUGAGAAAAUUAGUGCAAAGACAGUAAAAGUUAAAUCAAGUUUUUCUAUCUUUUUAAUUAAAAGCUACCUGAGGAGCCACCAACAACUCCAUUGAUAAUAAAAAACAAAAAUCAACAUACAAGAGGGAAAAAAAAGAAAAAAGUUUUAAGGGGAAAAAAUUAAAUGAGAUUUACCAGGAAAAGGUCCACUCCCCCCAGACUUAUGAAGAGGUCUGGGUGAGUGAGGGACCUUCUCUGCUGUUUCAUUAUCACCGUGGCCCAGAGCCUGGGAAAAUGCACUGAGCAGUUAAACGUAGCAAAGUCAAAUUCCUAUGCUAGAUAGAGAAUUCCUACGGCAAAAUGAUUGUGUGUGUGUGUGUGUGUGUGUGUGUGUAUGAGUGUGUGAGUGUGUGUGUAUGAGUUUGUGUGUAUGUGUAUGAGUAUGUGUGUAUGUGUAUGAGUGUGUGUGUGUAUGAGUGUGUGUAUGUGUAUAUGUAUAGGUGCUUAUGUGUAUGUGUAUGAGUGUGUGUAUGUUUGAGUGUGUAUGUGUAUGUAUGAGUGUGUGUGUAUGUGUAUGAGUGUGUGUAUGUGUAUAUGUAUAGGUGCUUAUGUGUAUGUGUAUGAGUGUGUGUAUGUUUGAGUGUGUAUGUGUAUGUAUGAGUGUGUGUGUAUGUGUAUGAGUGUGUGUAUGUAUAUGUAUGAGUGUAUGUGUAUGUGUAUGAGUAUGUGUGUAUAUGUAUAUAUGAGUGUGUGUAUGUGUAUGAGUGUGUAUGUGUGUGUGUGUUUGCAUGCGCAUGUCUGUGCAUGUACAAAGCUGUUUGCACUAUGUGGAAAGGGCAGGAAGGGACAAGGAUGCCAGCCAGCUGUCCUGCUCUAUCACUCUGCCUUACCCUACAACAAAGUGUCAUGGCUGACAUCAGUCAGCAGCUCCAGAGAUCCUCCUUCCUCCACUCUCCCAGAGCCAGGCUUAGCGGUGGGCACAGGCACCAGCCUGUCUCUUUACGUGUGUGCUGGGGACUUGACCUCAGGUCCUACGCUCUUACCUGCUGGGCCAUCUCCCUAGCAUUAGAGCACUAGAUUGUCAACUUAAUUUUUUCAAACUAUAUGACACUAUGCCCUAACAGGUCAUGAAACCAACGUAAUAGGUCAGAACUAGGAUUGUUUUAAAGGACUGGAUAAAAUCAAACAGAAAAGAGCAGAAAAUACCGGUAGUAACAUGCAAUGAGAUGUUUGUGUGUGCACAUACAUGCAAGCAACGUGUAUUUAUGUUCUGGUUAAAAGGUAGGAUAUGUCUAGCUGGGGGUCGGUCAACAGUGUUCGGCAAACAUCAGUCUAAGGCAAUAUCGGCCGGGAACUUUGGUCCUUCUCAUCCCUUUCCACGGUAAAGGUCUUUCCUGACAGUAAAGACAGACAUACUCAAUGUGGUGUUCAGGAGCUGUACUUGGGCAAUGUGGCCAUCAGGAGCCUGGUUUAAAAUGAGAGGGAAGAGGGUGUGUACUCUCCGUGACCUUGAGCAACUUUUUGAUGGUUCUCACAUGCCAUUUCUGGGGACACUUCCAACAUUACCCAACCUUGAUAAUGACCAAUCAAUCAGCACUCACUUGUCUGUUCCUUCACGAGUUCCCUUCUUAUCUAAUUCAUUGCCAGUCACCGAGGAGGAGACAUUAAUGAAUAAAAGCCACACAAGAAGGGGGCUGCCUGCCUUCAUGAAGCUUAGGUUCCACAGAGGUGUAAAGGUAAGCUUCCCACUAGCUGGGAAGCAAAAGGACAAGGACGCGCUGCUGUGUGAGGGACACACACACUGGCGGUGGUGACACGGCUUGCCCAGAAGUCUGGGUCAGACUCAGUAAUCAGAUCUAAAGACAACAGGCACUGAGUUGUGUAAGGGCAGAGGGAAGAGGAGGGAGAGGAGGAACAGGAGGAAGGGAAGGAGAAAGGGAGAAAGCUUUAGAAGAAGAAAGACAAGAGAAAAAUCCAACAUGCUGUUGAAUUCCUAACCUUUGACCCCACCUACUAAAGGUAUUGGUAUUUGUAAGAAUUUACUGGGGAUGCUCAGUCUAUGAAUUCUUGAAGCUCUGGGUUCAAUCCCCAAUACUAAAUAAAACCAGGCGUGGAGGUUAGGACCUGUGAUCCCAACACCGGGAGGUGAAGGCAGGGCACCAAGAGAUCAAGGUCCUCUUCAGAUAUAGGUUUGAGACCAGCCUAAGCUACAAAGGAUCCUGUCUCACAAAGAAAGAAAGGCGGGGUGGGAAUGAAGGGGGAAAAUAUCUACUGAACACAAACUUGGCCUCCCAUCUUCCCUCUGUUGUACCCUCACUGACCCUGUAGCCAGCUCUGAAGUGGUCCAGCUCCUAACAUUUCUAUUGUCAACUGGUUUAGCUACAGCCAGGUUUGGUACACUUUUUCUUAAAGGGCCAGACAGAAUCUUUCCAUCUCUCAAGUCCAUGGUCUCUGUUGUUGACAACACAGCUCCACCCUGGCAACCACGACAACACAAAAGCAAGCAGAAAUGUAACCAGCGAGUGUGGCUGGGCUUCAAGGAGGCUUCAUGUGCAAAGCCACUGCACCGCUGGCUCCCUCUGACCUAGAGCCUCACACUUGUGCUCAGGUUCAACUCAAAACCUCUAUGGUUCCAGCAAGAGAAGGGCCCAGGUAAGGGGACUUUCUGAUAAGAGAUUUGGGCUGAUCCUUCUGGACUCAGGGAGAGGGCGCCAAUGGAGAUCUAAGUCAGAUGCUCCCAGACAGGGAGCCUGUAGGGAGCACCUGUAGGGAGGAGAGAGAGGGGAGAUGAACAGACACACUAAAAGUCGUGUUCAUCAGUAAUGAAGCAAUGAAUCAUUAGCGGGGCUGUGCCUCACUAUGCCGUGUACUUGUGUAGUGCAAUUUACAACACUUCUUGACCAAACUAAGGCACCACAGGGCCUACCAUCCUCCAUUUUGCGUUUGUAUUACGUGCAGGGCCAACACUGACUGAUUUUUCUGAGCCAUAAAGCGCAUUACUCAAUAGUGUUUCAAAGGGCAGCCCUUAAGCUUGGUUGGCAUGGAAACUUGAGUCCUAAAGACUGGAGUCCAAGUUUUACUUCAACUUCUCAGCUGUGUGACCCUGGGCAAGAUAGUUAACUGCUCUGAGCUCCAAUUUUCUGGUCUAUAAAUGGAACUGCUGUAACAACAUCUGCUUCUUGGGCCUGUGGUGAGGAUGAAACAAGACAACACUGGGCUCGGCACUUAGCAACAGCACAACAACUAUCUGCUCUUGUUACCAGGAAGGGAAGGUCAUGAAGUAAAUGGCCAUCUUGUUAACGCAGUUCUCCAAACACAGCUACAGCACAGGGGCAGGUACUGGUUAACUGUGAGAUAAUAUAAAGGGCUUAAAACUCACACAUCUGUGUGUGUGUGUGUGUGUGUGUGUGUGUGUGUGUGUGUGUGUGUGUGUGUGUGUCUGUCUUUGUAUAUGCCUGCCUCUGUCUCUCUGUCUCUGUAUGUCUGUCUCUGUCUGUGUGUCUGUCUGAGCUAGGGAGCUGGCUAAAUGGUUGAUUAUGAGGGCAGGGUUUGGAUUCCCUGAAUCCACAAAUGAGCAUGAGAGUUGGUCAAUAACUCCAGCCUCAGAAGGCGGAGACAAAGGCUCCCCAGGCAAGCUGGCUAGGAGCAGAAGCCAUAGUGGUGAGUGCUGCGACCUUGCCUCAACUAAUAGAGUGUAAAAGCAACCAUGAAUGAGUCCAGACAUCAGUGUCAGCACCACCCAUGCACAUAUACCCCACACACAUGUGGUCAUACAUAUGCAAACAUGCAUCUGCACAUACAUAACAUACAUCCACAUAUACACGAGGAAUAAAAUGUAAUCACACAUAGAAGCUUGCUUGAGGUUACUUCUCACCGGUCUAGAGAAGGCAUUUGCUCAGAUGCAGACGGUAGAGGAAGGGAUGGAUGAGAGUGGAGCAGAAGCUUUACAGAACCAUCCAGUCACAGCCAGUCACAGCCAGGACAGUCAGUGAGAGGCUGAGCUCUGUCCCCAUGCACCUCCCGGGGUGUGUGUGUGUGUGUGUGUGUGACGUGUGCGAGUUUUGGGCUUCCUAUCAGAGGUCUCUGCUCUGAAGAGCAGCCCCACAGCCCCUCCUGGACAGGGUGGGGAGCAGCCUGGCUCAGAGGAGAAAGUAAAGAGCAGAGGUUCGGGAAGGGCUGCACAACUGGGAAUGGGUGGAGGUGGGAGGCUCUGGGCCCCUGUGCUCUAUGUCAGGAGAUGCUCUCACAUAGCAGUUGGAAACCAUUAAGUUCACUCACCUGCCAUCAGGUAACACUAAGCUUUCUGGAGGGGCCUCAGCUGGAAUUUCUAUCAUGUUGCCACAUAACACAUGGACAAACUUUGCCCGGGUUCAGGAGGCUAAAAGUCUGGACUGGUCCAGGUUCCUUUCACCCCGGUGACUGGCUAACCCCUGGGGCCUACCAGGCUACAACAUAGCUUCCUACACACUGGGCCUGGUUCUCCUCUCAGUUUGCACUCAGAUCCUCAAGUUCAAUCUGCCAGGAAGCUGGGGAAGGGGGCAGUGGUUGGCAGUAGUAGCCUCAGAGCCAGUCCCAUCAUGCUCACUCAGCCUAAGCUAAGGGUGUUUCUUGGGCUAUGUGGGAAGCAGGCCACUUAACGUCAUUUGUGGGGAACAAAAGGGCAAGAGAUGCUGGGCGAGGUGCAGAGAAUCCAUAUUCCUAGUGCAGGGCCUCUAGAAGAAGGCAGGCCAUAAACUAUAAAGGAAUACCUCUAAUGGCCAAAGGAGGCCACAGGACCAUCAAGGUGAGAAAAGAUGAGGCCUGAGGGAAGAGAGCCUUAAAGCUGCACAGCGCAUGUGCACACACUCAGCUCACGCCCCCAGUGCACCGCUGGCUACCCACAGCCCCUGCCACCAAGGUACUGACGCCUCUUGCUACAUCUCUCUGUGGCAUAGAGUGCAGCUCCUGAGGUUGAGAGGUCACCAUUUUGUGCCUGCAUGGCCUUAAGAGGGAACCAAGGGUGAUGCCAGAGCUUCUCUGGAGAACAUUCUAGAAGGGGGGCCCUAACAGCAUGUGCGCGUUCCUGCCUGCAUUGCUAAGACGCUGUGCUACUUGGGUUGGAGGUUGUGUUCUUCACACGCUUCUUCAUCUGCAUGUCAGAGAUAGUCUUUCUGGUCCCUGCGAUGCCGGCAAACACAGAGCACUGGGAGCCACACCCAGCCCACAAGAGCCAGGAAGUCCAUUUAACUUCUCUGGUAACAUUAGAAGUUACACAAUCCUGGGGAAGGGGGUGGGGAAAGAACAGAGAGAAGUCAUUCUAGCAAGUGGCCAUAGUGUCCAGAUGUGGGCCUUGAGACAUGGGGGAGAGCAAGGUAAACAACACUAAGCACAGAACAGACCCCCAGGAGCACUUUGGGUCUUUCCACAAUUUUAUUGGCUGCAGUCUAAAGGCACUGGGGGAAACCACUGGGGAAAGUAGAAGAAGAACAAUGACAGCAGAGUCUCCUCCAGAGAAAGCCAUGCCCCUCCUCUAACAAAAAGACUAGAGGCAGAAACUUAAAAAGAAAACACUGCAGCUGGACGUGGUGCAGCACAUCUUUAAUCAUAGAAGCAGGUGGAGCUCUGGGAGUUCGAGACCAGCCUGGUCUACAUAGGGAGUUCCAGGACAGCCACAGAAACAUAAACUGUGACUCAAAAGGAGAGAGGGAGAGGGAAAGGGAGAGGGCGAGGGAGAGUGAGAGGGAGAGAGAGACAGAGACACAGAGAGAGGGACAAAGAGAGGGACAGACAGAGACACAGAGAGGGAGGGAAAGGAGGAAAGACAGGAAGGAGGGAGGGAGAGAGAGAUUGAUUGAUUGAUUGAUUGAUUGAUUGAUUGAUUUCUUAAGCAUCAAUAGUUUGGAGAAGUUUGUUUUUACCCCAAAGUAACCACUUCUCACUCAACACCCUGUCCAGAGAGCCAGGAUACUGCUGUAGGGAGCAGGAAGGCUAAGCCCCUUAGCAAGGGAAGUUGGAUUUGUGGUCGCAGUCGGCCCCAGUGCAGGAUAUUCCAAACCCAUAGACAAUGUGUCCUCUAAGUAUCAGAAAGAGAAAAGCUUACACUCCUGCCAAUACGCACACUAUGGCUUUAGAUGGAAAUCACCUCUAAUGUGUCACCUACCUAUGCCAUAUGCAAAUCCGUGAGCUCUGUGGUGGCUCCAAGGUCUCCCAGCGCUUUAAGAGGUGCACUCAAGUCACUAAAUGAUGCCUGUUCACUGCAGGUGCCCAACUAUGAAGGAGAAGUGGGGUAGCAAUUCUUUUACACACCCAGCAUGAAGACUGCAAACUCUGCAUUUAGAGUGAAGGUGUGUGUGUGUGUGUGUGUGUGUGUGUGUGUGUGUGUUAAUCUAUGCAGAAAGAAUCAAUAAUUUCCUUGCAUUAAUACCCUUAAGUAAAACCAAAGUAAUUUUAAAAGGUGAUUAAGAUCAAAUUAAUUUUCAGGAGAAAUGCACAGAAAGGGCGAAGACCCAUCUCAUCCUGCCAUUUCUCUGCCAACCUCCAAGGUCAGUGUCAGCAGCAUCAGGCCUGUGAGCCCACAUCUGCAUCUGCACACACAGACACACCAGUUACAGUCAGUUAACUGUAAAACAAGAAUAACAAUAAAGACUGGCAAGAUGGUGCCAAGUGUACUAUCACACCUGAUAAACUGAGUUCAAUUCCUGGGUCUCACAGGAUAGGAGAACUGACGUAAUCUUGUUGUCUGUCCUCUGACUGUUACACACCUGCACGGGCGCACGCAGGCGCGCGCACACACAUACACACACACACAGAGGUAUGCACAUAUACAUAUACACACCCACAAUAAAUAUGCAAAUGCAAUAAAAAUUUAACUACUGUGGGACGCACAUGCAUCUCUUUUCGUAGUAAGACUUGUUAGUACUAAAUUUAACAGACUUUUUAUGUUUAACUUAAGAAAAAGCUAGUCUUGCUAGGUAGUCCAGGCUGGCCUCAAACUUGCAAGCAAAUUACAAAGAAGACAAGCAGAGGAAUAAAGACCUGUGUCUGAGGCGGUUAGGAGUCUCUGUGAGUCAAGUGCUUCAUUCCCAAGCUCAUUAGCCCGAGUGGGAAGCCCAGAAGAUACACUGAGGAGAGAACGAAUCCUCAGAGUCGUUGUCAUGUAUGUUCUGUCCCUGUCUGUCUGUCUGUCUGUCUGUCUGUCUCUCUCUCUUUCUCUCUCUCUCUCUCUCUCUCUCUCUCUCUCUCACACACACACACACACACACACACACACACACACACACACACAUAAUAAACAGACAACAAAAUCUAAGUCCUGUACAUGACUGCUCUUGCCCUGCCGUUUUAUCGUCUAAACAGUGAACGGACUUAAAGCUAAGAGAUGUCAAGAGUAAAAGGCAGCACUCAGAGCAUUUGCUCAGAAAACUCUGGUUAAUUUUGGAAGAUAAGGACCCAGGAAGGACGCUAUAAAGAAGUUGUAUGAAGUGGAGCAGGAGGAGCGGGGCUCUGGCUGACUUUCCACUCCUUCCCGUACGUACCUCUCUCUGCCAGCUUUCGGUGACUCAGAACCGGCAAUAAUAGUUUAUGAGGGCAAUUACAGCCGGCUGGAGUCUGACAUGAUAACACAGACACCCCUGGAUGGAUUACAACCAGCCCUCCCAGGGCCACUCUAUCUUUCGGUUACCCAUAGUUACUCAUUUAUUUUUAAAUGUCCCAGUGUGAUCUUAUCUAAUUGGCACCUACAACUUGAUCACCUUUUUUCCAAAACCCGACGUUGCUGGAAGCAGCAGGCCACACUCUGAGUGGAGAUGAAGGUGGGCAAGGCAUUAGGGCCUUUUGCUAAAAAUAAAUUAAAAAAUCACAGGACUUGAGUUCUGAGUUAAACAAAGUCACCGGGCUCUAUGCUAGUUUGCAGGGAGUGGCCAGGGCCCACUGGUAACCACGGACACACCCUUUCUGGCCAAGACCAAGACCUUCCUGGGAAUUCAUGAGCUCUCGGUCUCAGCAUGUACUAAUCCCACUUUAAGGAGAAACUGCCAUCCCAGAGACUCUAAAUCCCAGCCCAGGUAGUCUAAUUGUGAAGGACAGACAGUCUUCAACAGUGUUUGUACACGGACCUCACCCAUGUGGCACCACACUACUAAGACAGACCGGAAACCAUCUAGGACCCAUGUAGAGAACAGCCAAAGGGUCAAAAUCGGGAAAGUAUUGCAGGGUCUUUAGAGUCUACUAAGUCUUGGUUAAAAUGGACAGAGCCAAGAAAAGGAGUGAGUGGCCAAAGUAGGCACCGGGGAGGCAAACUGCCAGCCCCAAGCUUCAAGGGGGAACAGGAGCCUUGUCUAUGGCUGGCACAUGAACAGGAGAGAAAGGAAGAUGGAGGCAGGGAAUGCGGGAAUCCCACAGUCCCACAAUCGAUGGUAAGGGUGUUCACCUGGCCCUAGGGCAGCUCACUAUGGGGUGCCAAGAGUGGAGGCCAGAGCCUCUAAAUGCAGUGACUUAAGGAAGAAGGCACAUACCAGUCAGCUGCCUCCAAAUCCUCCCCUUACUGGGGCAUGUGCCAUCUCCUAGAGGCCUCUUUUGGGAAAUUUCAAAGUCAAACUGUCCCACGCCACCCUACCCCUCUACUGUAUUGGUCAUUUUUCCAGUGCGUGUGAUAAAAUACACUGAAAGGAGCAACUGAGAGGAGAGAAGGUGUGCUCGGCUCACACACGCCAUGACAGCAGCAGACGCCUGGGCACGGGAGCUUAAAGCACUGGCCACACCAUGUCCACCGCCAAGACAGCAGACAGUGGUAUCUGUGUUCAUUGCUUUUCUUCCCAUGCAGAUCAGGACCCAAGGCCUGGGAACGGUGGCUUUCUUUAGUCUUGCUCUUUUGGGGUGGGUUUUCCCACUUCAUUAACCUAAUCAAGAUAAUAAUAAUAAUCCUUCACAAGCUCGCCCAGAGGCUAACCUCAUCUAAAUAAUCCUCCACAGGUAUGGGAGGAAACAUGCCUUCUUAGGGGAUUCUAGAUCCAAGGAAGUUGAUAAUAUUAAUAACUGUCACAGCCCCCUCCUUCUCCCAAAUGCUGUUUCUGUGAGUCUUGUUAGUGAGGGCCACCAACAUCAGUAUUUUGCUGGGUUUUGGUGCCAGGCACGUGGAGAUUCACCUAGACUACAAGCACACAGUCUGUCAGACCCUAACAUGGCCAGACGGGCACCUUGGACAGCACAGCUGUUCACCAACCUCUCUGAGCUCACCUGAAAAUUCACAGCAACCUGAGGACAGAGAACCUAAGUCCUGCAGGCUCGUCCCUUUGACUGACAGCUGGCAAUCACUCAGGGUACCCCAACGGCCAAUGGAAAGCUGUUGGUGAGAAAGGUUUCAGGUUGUUUGUGGUAAUUUUAUGCAAAGAAUAGUGAAUGCACUCUGUAUACGGCCGAGUCACCUGGAGUAAGGCUCAGCCCUGCUUACGACCCAGAUGCACACUCUUUCAAAGAGGCUGGCAAAAGAGCUUCAAAGAGACAGCAGUCAUGACACCACUCACAUUCACAGACCGUGUGCCCAGUGUGCUCUCCACUGCGUGACACUUGUUAUUUCAUUUAACUCUCCCGGUCUGGCAGGUGGGGAGUGUCCGGAUAAGGAAAUUAAGUCUCAGAUUAGUUAACAGACUUGCCUGGGGUCAAUGAAAGCCAUAUCAAACAUGUAGCUGCACCCUCACCCCCAAAACACAUCAUGACACAUAUCACGAUCAGGCAGCAGCCUCAAAUCACAGUUAAUAUUAAUAUGGCCCAUUAUAAUGAACAAUGGACAUCUCAGAAUAGGAGUGCCACACAAGCUUGUCCUGAUAUGUGGUGUACACACACACACACACACACACACACACACACACACAUACACACACACUCACUCACAGAGGGAGAGAGAGAGAGAGAGAGAGAGAAUAUUUCUUAAAAACACAAAGCCAAUGGGACUGCAGUACUCACUGUGACGUGUGACCAUCUACGAAAACAUCACCUCUCCACUCAUAUGGCAAAUUCUGAAGGGUGAUCACAUACCUCAGAUGACUCUAAAAGACCCCAUAACACAAUCUGAGAAGGUCUCUUAAAAGUAUUUAUAGACAUAAAAAACAAACCGUGGAAGGAGGGGACCUGGUGCAGGUCAUGGAGAACAAGAGGCAGGGGCUGCGUUCAGAGCUGCAUGCACCCUCAGGUGAGCUAUGACAGACCCAGCUCUGCCACAAGGGUUUCCAGCUAUGACUAGGAGGCUCCCAAGGCUCGCACAUCUGCAUAAGGGGCUACACCAAGGUAAACUACAUCUCUGAAAGUGGGGACAACUUGCACACAUUUGCAAUUUUUCUGUAUCCUCUUGGCAAGAAAGUGUCUUUUAAAAUGUGUGCUAUUUAAAAAAAAAAAAAAAAGACUGUGUAGAGAAAUGAAGGGGAGAAAAGAGAAAGCCAGAACCUUUGGUUCUUUCAGAAUUAUCUAGAAUAACCAAGGAUGGUGGCACACACCUAUAAAACCAGCACUAACUAGGGAGGCAAAAGCUAGACCAAGAGUUCAGUCAUUCUUGGCUACUUAUCAAAUUUGAGGCUAGCCUGGGCUACAUGAGACCCUGCUUCAGUAACAAAACAAAAAGCAAAAACAAACAAACAAAAAGAAAACAGGGGGGAAACCCUACAAAACCACAUGGAGACUUGUGUCAACUGGAUCUAACUGGCAAAAUGAACACCUGGGGCUCUGGAGGGGGCUCAGUCCAGUGUUGGCUGCAAAAGCCUGAAUCUGAGUCUCCUCAGCUCCACAUACAAAACACUCCCGGCUGGGGAGGCGGGGACGGCUGAGCAGAAUCCUAGAUCUCCAGAGCAGCGAGCAGAACCAAGGAAGCUCUGAUGCUUAUCUCUGGCCUCCACACACAGCAACCUGUGCUAGGGACGUGGUUUUACAAAGAGCUUGCAAAUGCAAAUCCCAGCACACAGCUUUAAAAGCUAUGGUGACAGCAUAUGCCGAGGGCCUGUAACCCAGCAGACAGGAGAGUCACUGGGUUUGCUGGCCACUGUCCAGUUUCAGGUUUAGUGAAGACCCUGUUUCAAGGAGUAAGGUAGGGAGGAGGAGAGAGAUAGAACAGAGCAUUGAGCGCCUCUAACCUCAGAGUGAGACAUUCCUACACACAGGCAGUCUCAGCUCCCUGGAAUGACUCCAUGGCCCGGGGUGGGGGCAGGGGAGCCCACAUACAAUAGUGAGGACAGGAAUGAUGCUUUGGGAAAGAGCCUUUCACUUUUGUACCCUCUUCUAAGCAUGGGAACACGGUUAUCAACUGCUUAAAAAUAAAGACUCUCAACACUUGAAUGAUCUGAGGUUCUGACUGAGACUUUAUUUGGGGGAGGGGUUGUCAUGUAGCUGAGACUGACUUCACACUCGCUCUGUGGAUGACGAUGACUGUGACCUCCUAAUCCUCUUGUCUCCUGCCUCCAGAAUCAUAGGUGUGCACUAUCAUAUCUGGUUUAUGGAAUGUUAGGAAUUAAACCCAGGGCUUCAUGUAUACUAGGCAGGCACUCUACCAAGGGAGCUACAUCACGAGGGAUGAAAAGCGAUCUUUAGACAUUAACAAGCCUCCUCCAUGACCCACUUGACCACUGCGAGCCUCACUGAUCCCACUAGCACUGUGACUGAGCCAGGUGGUCAAGGAGCGUGUAUACACACACACACACACACACACGCAUACACACCCCUACCUGUGCCCAGCAGAGCAUGCGGCUUCUUUCCCACACCAAGGUUUCAUUAAGACAAUCUAUCCACAGGAUCCCUUCCUCACAGUCUUCCUCUCUGGCUUCUCUAAAGGGAAACACCAGAGAACCAUGGGGAAAGGUGGAGGCAGGAGGCAGGGCUUUAUCCCAGACCUCGUCCUAUUGGGCUCAGUGCUGCAUCUACUUCUCAAGGUUCUGGUCCCUUCUGACCACCGAGAAGCUCGGCUGCUUUUUUUAACCCCUGCAUCCCCAGAGGGUAAGAAUGUGCCCUUGCUCAGCCUGUACCCACUUCCCUCUAGUGUGCACACACAGUCCCAGGCUGCUCUCUCUCUCUCUCUCCCUAUGCUUGCCCACAGCUGGGAACUAGUCCUUUAUCAGAUUCCCCUCAGUUACUUCACUUCAGGGAGCCGUCAGUCUCCUGCCAGGACAGUGACUGACAAGCUAAAACCAGAACUGAUUACCCUAGAAUUUUACUCUUAGAAUCUACAUACCCCAAUAGGUACAUAGCAAUUCCUAUGUGAUUUAAGUCAUGGACAGGCAGGAAAUAGGCCACCCGUACUUCUGCAAUAAUUCACUGCAUGGCGUACCUUGGAAGAGCAGAGCCGUCGGUGAGGUAAGCUGUGGAACAUGGAACUCCAUUACAGAAUUAGAGAAGUAUGUUGUUGCUAAAAAUACCUGGCAGGGUUCCUUUCUAAGGGUAUCACAUCCAUCGCUACUAUGGCUCCGAGCUGCUCAGAUGGACAUAAAAUCUGCAUUUAGAGCCAACUGAACAGCAGCCCAGAAGUCUGUGAUCCUACGGCAACCACUGAUAGGACCCUCACCUGAGACCCUGUACAGGGCUAACUGCACUCACAGGGUCUGAAUUCGCCUACUGUAAGAACACCACCCGAUCAUGCUUCAUAAGAACACUUAGCUGCCACAACCGGAAGAUCUCAGGUGUUCUGUUGUGGCUCAGGGUACGGGCAGGAGGAACUCAGAACAUGACUAAAAUCUCUUAAGUGUGGUUCUAUGAGCUGUCUAAUGGUGGGGAGAGGAGGCACGAGACUCUCUAAGGGGCAUAAGAGGGGACUGGGAGGGGAACGGACACAGGACACAGCAUACUCAGCAUAUGCAUAUUGGUCUCCUCUGCAGUAAAAAGAUGGUGCCCAUGACCUCACACAUACCAAGCUAGCACCCCCAGUGCUGGGACUGUGGAGGCACGUAUCACCCCCAGCUUACUUUUCAGACUCUGAAGGAAUGUUUCAGUCGGGGCUGGUCAGGAGCAAGGCUCUGAGGCUUUACCUAAGGCCAAAAGAUCAAGUGCAGGCUUAUCAGGCUUCAUGGGAACCCUGAGUUCCCACAGUGGGCGGUGCCAACUUCCCAGGGGUGAGCCUGUUGGUACAAGCCCUGAAGUUACAGCAUUUACACUUAAGUAUUUUGCAACCAGUAUGAAGUGAGGGAACACGUAGGCAGAAUGUCUUUCUUGGGAAAGCAGGACGAGAUCUGUCUAGGGUAGCCUUAGCCUCUUAUGGCCUCCCUGUAGGCACACAGCAUGGGUGGCUGAUUAACUACUAUUCCUUAGCUCAUCCGUAAGACUCAGAACACUUGUUUCCCUUUUUCCCCAGUUGUCUGUCUGUCUGCCCCCCUGCCGUGUGUGUGUGUGUGUGUGUGUGUGUGUGUGUGUGUGUGUGUGUGUGCGUGUGUUAUGCAUGGGCAUGUGUGUGCAGGUGUGUGAGCCCACGCUUUCAUGGGGAUCAGAGAAAGAUGUCUGGGGUCCUGCUCUAUCGCAUGCCGACGUUCCCCAGACAGGAGCUAUGCUGGUGGCCAGCAAGUCUCAGCCAUUCUCCUGUCUCCUCCCCUUACAGGCUUGCUUGACCUGACAAAUAAGGGACCCAGGGCUUCAUGUAUACUAGGCAGGCACUCUACCAGCUGAGCUACAUCACCAGAGAUGAAAGAACGAUCUUUAGACAUUAACAAGUCUCCUCCAUGACCCCCUUGACACUGCAAGCCUCACUAAUCCCACUAGCACUGUGACUGAGCCAAGUGUCCCAGGUACUCAAGGAAUAUGGAAGCCACUGCAAGAGGUCACAUGCACGCCCCUUUCCCGCCCCAGGGCUCACCAACUGUAGUUUAACUUUUUAUUAGUUCUUUGUGAAUUUCACAUCAUGCACACCAAUCCUACUCAUCUCCCCCACCCUCAUACUCACCUUCUACCCCUUGCAACCUCCCCUCCAACAAAGAAAAGAAUCUCCUUGUGGAAACCGUACUGUCCUGCAGUCUACCCUUUUGCCCAAAUUUCUUUGCUUUCGAAUGUUCACUGCAGUGACUCAUUGGUCUGGUAUGAGGCCUCCCUCUGUCUUCUGGUACUCUGUCAAUAUUGGAACCUUAAUGGGACUUCUCUUGGAUAUCCUGUUGUUCUCCUAUGUCAUGGAGAUCCUGUAGUUUUGGAUCUGUGGACUGACCCCUAUAGCAGUUCAUCGGUGUGGUAGAUAUUGGGGUGGGCCAAUUCAAAGUCCUGGAUCUGGGCCUGAAUGGUAUCUAAGCUGGUUAGCCCACCCGAGGGGCAGUUUACCUGCAACCCCUGCUGCCCCGCCAGCUCUACCCUGCUGCCCAGGCAAGGUGUAGGCCCGCUCUCCCAAGUGCUGCAGUUGAUGGAAGGCAGGGCCCCAGGGUUCACUAACCUUUAAGAUGGGUACUGGAAACUGGGUCUUUGUGAUUACACCUCUUAUCUACUGAGCCAUCUCUCUAGUACCCAUUUCACUUUUGCUCAGUAACAGGUGUGCCCCGUGUCUACCACACAGCAGACAUUUAAAUCACACCACAGCAGAGGCAACUGAAGAGAAUCAAAAUUUGCUAUUUUACCACGUGAAUGUUUUGACUUCAACUCGCAAACGCUUGACUAUUCAAACUAUCGACAAAGUCAAAGACACACAACACAAACUAGAAUAAGAUGCUAUGAGAAUAACAUACAUACUAUAAGCACUGCCCAGGGCAGGAUGCCAUGAAGGAACAUAUAAGACUACACAGCAGCCUAUAAAACAAGUCUGGCAAUCUCACGAACAGUGCAUGGGCCACCUAACGGAUCCCUAAGGCCUUUCUCAAGCGAAUAAAGCCAUAGGUCUUCAAAGAGACAUGUUCAAGAAUGUUCCAGGAAGCUUUACUAAUAAUUCCUAGAAACUGGAAAUAGCCCGGGAUCUGCCAAGAGGUAACCAGGCAAGCAUAUCACGAUGCGUGCGGGAAGCGUGUCCUCAGGAAUCACAGAACUAACUAAAGUGUAAGUCCCCAUGGCUCCUUCACCAUUCCCAGAAACAAUAUGCUGGGCGGAGGAGAGGGCUCAAUGGGGAAGGCACUGGGCACACACAGCAGCCUCACUGUUCUCUUAAGUUUACAUACAGUUGGUGUGGCGAGGAGGAGGGGUGUUGAAGUCUUUAUCAGGCUUUGGAGACAGUUCCCAUACCUACGAAGCCUUCUCCAGUCCAGGUCAAAACACGCCCCCACCAGUAUAAUUUAACUCUGUAAAUUAUGUCCAAACAAAGUUGAUUAAAAAAAUAAAAGCAAAAUUUUUAUUACUAUUAUUAAAGUUUAGGGGCUAGCGUUGGUUGGGUGGUUGAGAGCACAUAUGCAGUCAUGAAACCUGGCAUGGGGCGCACACCCAUAAUCUCAGAAUCAGAAGUGAAGGCCGGCCUGAGCUACAUGAAAUGUUCUUUGGUUGGGUUUUUUUUUUCCCCCUUAAAUCAAGGCUUAUUAGGAAAAUGAAUAAUUUCGGGUCUUGAAAUAGAAAAUGUAAGAGAAGCUUUGGCCACAAGGAAGUAGUUACAGACUAGAAGGGACACCUUCAAAGUGCAUAAAAUGCAGCUUGGAAGGGUCUCAUGGGCUGAAUCUGCGAUAAUUUGAGCAUCAAAAUAAUGGUGGCAAUUGAUUAUAAAACACUGCCUGGAGAAAACCCCAUGAGUCCACAGUGAAAAUCACAGAGAGGGAUUUAUUCCCCACCAUUAGAAGCAGUUAUUGUACUAAACUUUUUCUGUAAAAAAAACUGGUCCUUACAGUUCCCUGUUAAGAACUAUGGGUGAGGGGCUGGGGAUUUAGCUCAGUGGUAGAGCGCUUACCUAGGAAGCGCAAGGCCCUGGGUUCGGUCCCCAGCUCCGGAAAAAAGAACCAAAAAAAAAAAGAAAAAAGAACUAUGGGCGAGUGAUAAAAUUAUCAGUUGCCAUCUUUUAACUCCCAUCAAAAUGAUCCAGGCAGAAGCUGUCAGCGGGUGCCCAUGAGAUCCCAGAGCAGGUCCCCGAGGUGUGCAGGUCCCCGAGGUGUGCAUCCUCAGGUCAAGGCAAAGCCCACCAGCGUCCAGAGGAAACCUGCCUAGAGCAAGCUCAGCUUCUGUAACGGAACGGCCCAGAGCGAUCUGAUGGGCUGGGUAUCACCUGGCAUUAACUGCCAACUGCUUAAUGAAAUGAAUGGGACCUUGGGUCAUGGAGACCUGACUGACAGAGGACACUGGGCCACGUUCAACAGCUUCAUAAGGAAACAGGUACACUUGCAUCUGGCCUUGGAUGCAGGGGACAGGGACAGGACAGCAACAAAGCAAAACAGCAGGAAGUCAUUGAAGGCUUUGUUAGUUACCUAGAGAAACCUGAAUGCUGUAUGGAUGAGAUGCUGUGAGGAAUUGCUUUAAGUUUCCCAGAGAGGACAGCAGUGCUGUGGUUAUAGAGAGAAACAUCUGUUCCUGAGUUCCACGCUGAGCUUAUAGGGGCAAAGAGUUGUUCUCCCAACUUCAAUGUUACCUGAGGGUUUGUGGAGAUGGAGACAGCUCGGAUGGGAAAGUACUCACUACACAGGAAUGGAGACCUAAGUUUGACUCCCAGGACCCCAUGGUGGAGAGGCACUAACAUACUCAUGCAAUCCCAGCACUGGGCAGGUAGAGACAGACAGAUCUGGGGCUUGCUGCCUGCCCACACCAGCCUGCUUGGGAAACCCCGGACCAGUGGAACACCGUGUUUCAAAAGACCAAGAUGGAUGGCUCCUGAGGAAAGGACACCAGAGGUUGACCUCUGGCCUUUACAUGUCUGUACACCCAGAGAGACCCAUGUGUACACACAACAAUCUUACUGUUUAAGUCACACACACUCUGGUGCUUUUUCGUGGUCACCCUAACCACUGACACAAUAGUGCUGUUUUCUGAGGGCCCUCGGUUUCCUGGAACCACCCACCUCACUUCCUUUUGUGUUAAUUAGCCCAUCAGACUGGACCAUGAAGCUCCAACCAGCGAGAGGAGGUGCACUCACCACUGGAGUGAAGAGAACAUCGGUCAUUUUAGGGAGUGUGUCUGCUAAACCAGUUUGGGUUCCAGCCGCACCCUUUUGCAAAAAGAAAUCACCCCGCCUGCCGAAUUACUUUCUCUCUGUCUGUCUGUCUGUCUGUCUGUCUGUCUGUCCCUUUGUUCAGCACCAAGAUUAUUCUUUCCCCAACAAUAGGGAAGAGUUCCGGAUCAAAGCAGAAAGCUGGCCCCUGACUCAGUCGGAGGGACAGUCUCAGCUCCCUGGUGACACUACCCAUCCUCGGACACAGAGAAGCCUGAGUCUCAGGAUAUGGCAAGUGUGCUGGGCCUCGUGGGUGGGAGCUGCAGACAGCUACUCCUGCAGUCUGGAGGAUGCCAGACGACUGCUACUUUAGCUGAGGAAUACCCCAACUUCUGCAAUUACAGACUCUCUCUUGUGUACCCACAGGGCUCUUCUGAGAGCCAGACAUGUCUGGGGACAUCUCUAGCAGCCUGGGAGGAAUCCUGGGACAGACACUUAAAACACACCAAUCUGUGUGCUGCUGAGGGAUCAGGCACCAUCAGACUUCCUGUCACUGCACUGUGAUGUUUCAGACUCAAGUUCUUUCUCCUUGAAAUAAAAGAAGCAUUCUUGUUCUUAUCAUUGU